UACAGAGGCCUCGAGCGUUGUUUCGGAAUUACUGGGCGUAAAGGGAAUGUAGGCGGUGACGUAAGUCAGACGUGAAAUCCCUCGGCUUUAACCGGGGAACUGCGUCUGAUACUGGAUAGCUAGAGUUCGGCAGAGGGAAGCGGAAUUUCGGGGUGUAGCGGUGAAAAUGCGUAGAUAUCCGAAAGGAACUCAGUGGCGAAAAGCGG
rnacentral:rRNA from 1 species